rnacentral:rRNA from 1 species
GCUUAUAAUCGACGGUCAGUGGCACUUGCGAUUGCGCGUUUGGUCACUAAGCCCUGACUAGUAGGAGGGUCGCGGAGGUGAGCGCAGAACGGCUGGCCGCGAGGCCGUCUGGAGCCGCCGUCGGUGCAGAUCUUGGUGGUAGUAGCAAAUACUCCAGUGAGGCCCUGGAGAACAGAGGUGGAGAAGGGUUUCGAAAGCCGAUGUCGAUGAGGUGUGGAUUUCUUUUUACGAGCGAGUCAAACGUUGAUUCGUUCCUUUAACGACGACGUAUCAAGCCGAUCGCAUACGCCCCUCGGGCGAAAGGGAAUCCGGUUCCUAUUCCGGAACCUGGCAUCGGAACCGUCAAAGAGUCGGGC